UAUAGCUCAGUGGUAGAGUGCUUGCCUAGCACAUAUGAAGCCCUGGGUUCAAUUCCCAGUA
rnacentral:tRNA from 1 species